UUCCGGUUGAUCCUGCCGGAGGUUACUGCUAUCGAGGUUCGACUAAGCCAUGCGAGUCGAAUGUAGCAAUACAUGGCGAACUGCUCAGUAACACGUGGACAACCCGCCCUUAGGUCGGGUAUAAACCCGGGAAACUGGGUAUAAUACCCGAUAGGUCUCGAUUGCUGGAAUGCAUCGAGAUUUAAAGCUCCGGCGCCUAAGGAUGGGUCUGCGGCCUAUCAGGUAGUAGUGGGUGUAGCGUACCUACUAGCCUACGACGGGUACGGGUUGUGAGAGCAAGAGCCCGGAGAUGGAUUCUGAGACACGAAUCCAGGCCCUACGGGGUGCAGCAGGCGCGAAAACUUUACAAUGCUGGCAACAGCGAUAAGGGAACCUCGAGUGCCAGGUUACAAAUCUGGCUGUCGAGAUGCCUAAAAAGCAUUUCAUAGCAAGGGCCGGGCAAGACCGGUGCCAGCCGCCGCGGUAACACCGGCGGCUCGAGUGGUAACCGUUAUUAUUGGGUCUAAAGGGUCUGUAGCCGGCCGGAUAAGUCUCUUGAGAAAUCUGGCAGCUUAACUGUCAGGCUUUCAGGAGAUACUGUCUGGCUCGAGGCCGGGAGAGGUGAGAGGUACUUCAGGGGUAGGGGUGAAAUCUUGUAAUCCUUGAAGGACCACCAGUGGCGAAGGCGUCUCACCAGAACGGACCUGACGGCAAGGGACGAAAGCUAGGGGCACGAACCGGAUUAGAUACCCGGGUAGUCCUAGCCGUAAACGAUACUCGCUAGGUGUCGGCCACGGUGCGACCGUUGUCGGUGCCGUAGGGAAGCCGUGAAGCGAGCCACCUGGGAAGUACGGCCGCAAGGCUGAAACUUAAAGGAAUUGGCGGGGGAGCACCACAACGGGUGGAGCUUGCGGUUUAAUUGGAUUCAACGCCGGGGA
rnacentral:rRNA from 1 species